rnacentral:rRNA from 1 species
GAGAAUCAUUCACAAUGGGCGAAAGCCUGAUGGUGCGACGCCGCGUGGAGGACGAAGGCCCUAGGGUCGUAAACUCCUGUCAUCAGGGAGUAAGGUGUUCACUAGUAACUGAGUGGGCAAUUGAUAGUACCUG